ACGCUCGACACCUACAGGAGGCAGCAGUGGGGAAUAUUGCACAAUGGGGGAAACCCUGAUGCAGCGACGCCGCGUGAGCGAAGAAGUAUUUCGGUAUGUAAAGCUCUAUCAGCAGGGAAGAAAAUGACGGUACCUGACUAAGAAGCCCCGGCUAACUACGUGCCAACAGCCGCCGGUAAGUCUGAGCGGGCGUGGCGAAGGACG
rnacentral:rRNA from 1 species